AUACGGAGGGUGCAAGCGUUAAUCGGAAUUACUGGGCGUAAAGCGCGCGUAGGUGGAUGUAUAAGUCAGAUGUGAAAGCCCUGGGCUCAACCUAGGAACUGCAUUUGAAACUGUACGUCUAGAGUAUGGUAGAGGUGAGUGGAAUUUCAGGUGUAGCGGUGAAAUGCGUAGAGAUCUGAAGGAACAUCAGUGGCGAAGGCGACUCACUGGGCCAUUACUGACACUGAGGUGCGAAAGCGUGGGUAGCAAACAGGAUUAGAAACCCUAGUAGUCC
rnacentral:rRNA from 1 species